ACUAAUUUUUAAAAUCAAAUGAAAAAUGACAAGGUUUGUAUAAAAAAUUAGAAUUUUUUUUAUAAAAGACUCGAAACAAUAUUUGGGACAGCGCUAAAAAUUUUUCAUGACAUUUCAAUCUCAGUUCAAUUUACUUAACAUUAGUAGCACUGUUAGGAAGUCUUCGGUAAAUCUAUAUCUUCAGUCUGCAUCAUUAGUCUUGGACAAGUCUGAGAUAAACUACUUCCGAAAUGUACCUCAAGGAAAUCCGUAGUCACUUGCUGAAGACAGGGCACUUGGUCAAGAUGCAUUAGCUUAAACCUGCUCCAGAAUUGCUUGAUACCUGGCCAUGGCUGGCCUCUUCGUUACUUUUCGAACCGUCUAUUUGGCAGUAGUAUAGUAAAUUCAGUGGCACUCACUUAAUUUUCGAUGAAAUUUUAUUUUAUAAAAAGGGUAACUGGGUUUACCACAGACACUGCAUUGAACAUGCAACGAGGAGAUGAAGAAAUCCGAUAUCAAAACCAAUUCUGCAACGACUCUGACCUUUCGUUGUUUUCGAAUGUAUGUUGCGAAUCGGUGCAGACUAUUUUUACAGAUUUUCGUAGGUUUCUAAGAAGAAUCUGAAGCAAGACUGGAUGAAAUCUUGGGCAAGUAUAUUUAUAAAAUACAUCGUUCAAGUCUUGUUUAAAUUUUCUGUAAGCGAUUUCCAAAGGACAUUCCUCAAGUCAAUUAUCCAAAAUAAUGCUACUGGGAAAUCUACUAGCGAUUUUUAAAAAGUUUUAAAUCUGACAACUAAUUUGCACUUCUCUUAUAGAGUUCAUGUCAAUUGGUCCCAACGGUAUCUGGCGCCAUCGAUCAGGGCUUGAUUUAGUUGGAACCAUUAUUUUGCUAGACUAGUACAUAUAAGAUCAGCAAAUUAUAGGAAUAAUUCAUAAGAUUGUCUCUUUGUGGACAUCUGGUAGAACCACAAGACUAGGAAGGGAAUGAGCGAGCAGACUGAUAAAAAAAUAACGCGAUUGAUAUUAAUAAACAAUUGAACAAUACAAUAUGUUUAUUGCUUUUACUUCCAUUGUCUUAUUGUUUAUCGAGGUAAUAUUAAUAACUCUCAAGAGUUAGUUUAUUUAUUUAUUUUUCGAAUACAAUAGAAGGUAAACAAAAUGUAGUUAACCAGUCCAAAUGCUUAAGUAAUUGAAGAAUCAUAUAAAUACUCGGGACGCCGUGAAAAUUGUGUCAUAUUUGCUCCAGUUACGUUCCUUUACAAGUGAUAUUACUUGCUCAAAUAACCUAAAAUGUCGAGAAUCUUUUUCAUCUUCGUCAUAAUUGCAAUAAUUUCUUUGAUUGCAACAGAAGCUUGUAUUGAGCUCGGUGGAAAAUGUCAUAGAUAUAAUAAUAAUAACUGCUGCGGAAGCUUGUCAUGUAGUGGGAUACUCAGUAAUGGCGGAUCGGAUUCGUGUGUUAUAAUAUUUUAAACAUUUUAUAAACUAAAAAUGCCAUGUAAUUUCUACAAUUCUGUUUAAUAAAAAUAUUAUCAUUUGAC